AUGAACCCUGAUGGAGGAGAAACCAUGAAGGAAUUCCUCUUCCUGGAAGAAGAACAGGCGAACCCUCGAGGUGCCGAGGAGUUGAGAGAGGAAGGGAACCCAUCGCCCGCGUUGAGCGAAGGGGGGACAGACCCCUCGGACCCGUCGUGGAAGCCGCUGACCUCCACCCAGUUACCCGCAGGCAGGGGAGUGACGAUGGAUCUGAUGCAGCGGCAGGUAAACGAGUCCUGGAGGGCGACAGUCGAGCAACGGGAGCAGAGGAGAGGGCUGCCCGGGAGAGGCACUGAACCCCGUCCCUUUGCCGGGGAGGGUCCACAGGACUAUGAGGAUGAGAUGCCUCAGCAGGGGACAUCAGUUUUCCCCACGGGCCUGUCGGGAAGGAGCCAAAUGCCUGGGAAGGGAGAAUUUCGGGUGAAGUUCAACGGGGACCCCAAACAGCUGUCUUAUUUCAUUACAAACGUAAGACACUUCAUGGAGGAUUUUGGGGACCAAUUCCCUUCAGAAAGCGCAAAAAUCCACACGGUGGGGGCAAACUUGAAAGAAGCAGCUGCAGACUGGCUAAUGCAGAUGUAUGAUACUGGUGCCCGGGAGCUGGCCUGCCUGGAGGAUUUCCUAAGAGCUUCGAAGACCCUUUGGCAGAGGAGAGGGCGAAAGCCCAACUCAAAAGGAUAUACCAGGGAGGAAGGACGGUGUCAGAAUACGCCCUGGAAUUUAAAGCCACAGCGGGGAAGAUUAGGGACUGGUCCGACACCACCAAACUGGAAUAUUUCAGGGCUGGUUUACGCUCUGAGGUGCUCGAGUGGGCUUUACACAGAGGAAAUCCAAGAGACUUGGAGGACUGGAUUUUGCUGGCGGGGCGCGUGGAGGUGGACCAACAGCAAAUCUCUCGUCGUCCAAGGGAGAGCAACAGAAUCAAACCCCCGACAGCAGCAACACGGCGCUUCUCCCCUCGUCGCGGAAGGUCGACCAGCAGGGAGAGGAGAGCAGGGAGGGGGGCCUGCUUCGCUUGCGGCCGCGAGGGACAUCGAGCGGCAGAGUGUCCGAAAGGGACACUCUGACAAGAGGAGAGAGGCUUCACAGCCAGAAGCCACCCCACCAGAGCUCCAAACUAGCAAAAGGGAAAGCUGCCAUGGCAACGGAAACGGCUUUAGUCCCAGGGCAGCUUCAGGCAGAAGAGAUGGAGGAAGCGGAGGACCUGGAGUUACCGGGAAACGACUGGCAUCUGUUUUGAACGCCCGGAGACAGAUCGAACCACCAGAGGGCGACGGGGGUGAGUUGAGAAGAGUAAAUUGUGACAUUGUGAGAGUCAGAGUGAGGCUGUUGAACCCAGAGACAGGGAUUCAGGUAGAAGCAGAUGCUAUGUUGGACUGUGGGUGCACGAGAUGCCUAAUUACUCCCGAACUAGCAAACAGGUUGGGGGUGGAGCCAAACCCACUAAAGACACCAGUAGUCUUCGCACAAUUGGAUGGAACCCCAGCAUACGGAGUCCCAGUAACAGAAAAAAACAGGGUUUUUAAGAAUGACUAUGGGUUCUCAUGCUGAGACAUUGCAAUUUGUGAUUUCAACAAUGGCACAUCAGCCAGUCAUUUUGGGCGUUCCUUGGCUGAGAUGGCAAAACCCUCAGAUUGACUGGAAAAGGGAGACAUUUACUUUCUGGGAUGGAAAUUGCAAUUUUGAGAGUACCCCGAAAGACAUAGAGGUACUGGAGCCAGAGGGGGCGAUAGCAGCCACGUCACAGGGGGUACCAUUGGAAAGCGUUCCCAGAGUCUACCAUGAAUUCGCAGAGGUGUUCAGUGAGAAGGAGUGUGACCAGUUGCCCCCUCAUAGGAAGACGGACUGUGCAAUUGAAAUAGACCCCAAUGCCAAACUACCUAAGCCAAAACUCUAUGCAAUGUCGGAACCAGAGAAAAGGGCACUCAGAGAAUUUAUUGACAAGAAUAUAGAGAGAGGCUUCAUCGAGCCAUCUCAGUCCCCCAUGGCAGCGCCAGUAUUUUUCAGGCCAAAAGCAGACGGCCUAAGAUUGGUCGUGGAUUAUAGAGGUCUUAACGCAAUAUCCACCACAAACCAAUACCCGCUUCCCCUAAUGUCAGAGAUGUUGGCACAAUUGGGCGAGGCACGCAUCUUUACCAAACUGGACUUGCGGGAGGCUUUUUAUAGGAUUCGAAUCAAAGAUGAAGACUGUUGGAAAACGGCUUUUAAUUGUCACCUUGGGCAGUACCAUUUUAAAGUUUUACCUUUUGGCUUGUGCGGAGGUCCAAAGGUGUUCAUGCAGUUCAUAAAUGAGACCUUUCGUGACAUGCUAUAUAAGGGGGUUAUUAUAUAUCUCGAUGACAUUCUUUUGUACAGUAAAUCACUGUCUGAACACAUUAGGCUGACUCGAGAAGUCUUGCGGAGAUUAAAGGAGAAUCAGCUUUAUGCUAAACUCUCCAAGUGUGAAUUCCACAAAACGGAGUUAGACUACUUGGGGUUCCGCAUUUCCACAAAAGGCAUAGCUAUGGACCCCGCCAAGGUGCAGGAUGUAUUGGCGUGGGAGCCUCCAAGGACUUGAAGACAGCUGCAGGGAUUCCUAGGCUUUGCAAAUUUCUAUAGACAGUUCAUCAAAGACUUUGCCAAGCUGUCUCUGCCUUUGACAGAAUUACUAAAGACUAAGGGAGUGGGGGAGACUCGUAAGACUAAGACGCCGGGUGCGAAGCUGAACUGGACGCCUGAGUGCCAAGAGGCGUUUGAAGAAUUAAAAAGGAGGUUCACAAGUCAACCCAUAUUAGUUCAUGCCCAACGGGACAAACCGUUCGUGGUUCAUUGUGAUGCAUCAGAGGCGGCCUAUGGAGCAAUACUGUUGCAGGCCGAUGAUGAGGGUGCUCUAAGACCGUGUGCUUAUUUAUCAAGAAGUUCACGGAAACGGAACGGAAUUGCGGUGUGGCAGA
ensembl:lncRNA